AGCGAACGCUGGCGGCAGGCCUAACACAUGCAAGUCGAACGAAGUCUUCGGACUUAGUGGCGGACGGGUGAGUAACACGUGGGAACGUACCUUUUGGUUCGGAACAACUCAGGGAAACUUGAGCUAAUACCGGAUGAGCCCUUAGGGGGAAAGAUUUAUCGCCGAAAGAGCGGCCCGCGUUAGAUUAGCUAGUUGGUGAGGUAAAGGCUCACCAAGGCCACGAUCUAUAGCUGGUCUGAGAGGAUGAUCAGCCACACUGGGACUGAGACACGGCCCAGACUCCUACGGGAGGCAGCAGUGGGGAAUCUUGCGCAAUGGGCGAAAGCCUGACGCAGCCAUGCCGCGUGAAUGAUGAAGGUCUUAGGAUUGUAAAAUUCUUUUACCAGGGACGAUAAUGACGGUACCUGGAGAAAAAGCCCUGGCUAACUUCGUGCCAGCCGCCGCGGUAAUAC
rnacentral:rRNA from 1 species